rnacentral:lncRNA from 1 species
UCUCGUGACCAGAAUUGCUGUCGCGGUAACAGUCGUGCCCACGACUAGUGUGUUGCAAUGCUGGAAAAUAAAAAUGGGGAGUUUUAAAUUGAUUAAGAUAAUUAAAUAAGGAAAUACGAAAAAUAAAUUAAAAUAAAAUAAAAACAGAUUCGAAAAUGCAAAAAUAAAUUUAAGAAAAUAAAAUAAAUAGAUAAAUAAAAUAUUUUUUAAGCUUAGCCUUAGCCUCGGUGUACUCCAUUCUUGAAUCAAUCAUUGAAAUAAAUUUUCCCUUCCAAGCGAUAAGCUGGUUAUAGCAAUCGAGGAUCCCUCAAACCACUAACUCUUCCUUUCGUAGUCGAUCCUGGUAUCACCUGCAAAUCAACCCUUGUCAAAUUUCCAACCACGUGGCACGUACCUGUAAUUUAAGACUUCGACAGCCUUGCAAUUUGAAAAGCCCAACUCGAAUUAAUGGCCUCAACCGUGUGGGUUGUUUAAAUCCGACCACUAUCUCCGUUAACGGAAUCCAACUAGCUUUUCCAAUUGAACACGCCAAUUUGUUCGCGAGAUUUUGAAUAUAGCACUGCCGACUCAACUUUCCCACUGUACGCCAAUCGAUUCCAACCCAACGCACAUUUUUUGAAUUGAAAUUGAAUCAACUUUGAGGGACGAAUUUGUACUAUCCUAUAUACCGAAAAGAUAGUGAAUACCAAAUUGAGAGGUUUUUUUGAGCAGAUUCGUAUCUCACGAUUAUUUUGUUAGAACAAUUUCCGAGCUAAAGCUAAAAAGGGUUUAGUUAAUCAUGAAAAAAAUUAUGCUUGAAAAUAAAUGAUUUAAAUGGAAUUGUGAAAAGUGGAAAGGGGCAAGGCCUUAGAAGGGAAUUAAACCAAAAGGUUGAAAUCAAAAAAGGAAUGAAAAAAGAAUGAAACUGCAUAAUUGAAUGGCAAAGACGCAGG